UCCGAGGCGGUGAGAAAAUAGCCCCGACCUGGGGACUGGCUGGAUACGAACAGAAUUUGGAGGAGCUCUCCAGCCUCAAAACGCUGUCUCCGGCCAGUCAAGAACAAGUGAUCUCCGUGUUUGAAACGCAUUGCACUGGACUGGGACCGACUCACUGGUUUUUGUGGACCUGCAAAGUCACGGAAUAGCGCGUAAAACGGCCUGUGUUAUUAUUUUAUAACUUUUUCCUGUUCGUUGGCCUUUCUUCUCCUUGGACGGACGUCAUAUUCGACCGCAGGUGUUCAAACGUAAUUCCAAACUGAAGUCCGAACAUUUAUUUCUGUGUAUAAAAAAAAAAAAGUGGUGAAAUUGGGACCUGUUGUCGUUAUUAUGGAUUAUGUCAAAGACCUUCAACAUGCAGCAGGGAGACGGCCUCAGUGACGCAUGUGGCAGGGUUGGCUGAACUGACCCCUCCCCAGCUGCUGGAGAGAGACGGGCAUGGCACCACCCCAGGAGGCAGAGGAAGAGGAUGGAAGAAGAAGAAGAGGGGUUGGUGAGGCCUGGUUGGAGAGCAGACCUGUGAGGGGAGGGGGAUGGGGAUGGAACUCCACUCCUCCAUGCCCUCCCUCCCUCUGGGACAGGAAGUGAUGGAGAUGAGCUCACUUCCCCUCUGGCGAUGACACCGUGGAGAGACUGGAGGAAUCGAUAGAGAGACGGGAGUCUGAUGGUGUGGGGGGGAGGGGGGUGGGGGGGGCACACAGGGCCCCCGGCCCGAAGCUGAACCCCCCCACCCUGUGUGCCUCCACACGUCCUGCGUUUGCUGCGUGUGCUGUUCCUGUUUCCUACGGAGCCUGAUUAAAGUGGCGUCCCCCCCCACACACACACACACACAGACACACACACACACGCUGGCCUCGCACUCCGAACAAAAUCUCCUUCCAUUUUCCCCCCUGAAAUAAGAGGUGUUUUUUAAUGCUGACCAUCGCCGCUGGGACUCUCCAGGCCUGAGGUGGCGCCAGUGAGCCUCAGCCUCUCCGGAAAGGACUAGAGUGUGCCGGUCUGUGGUGAAUCUGUCACCCAGACUGAGAUGCUCAUGAGAACAGAACCCGUGCUCUGAUUGGCCCGAUCCUGGAUGAGAACCUGUGUCGUCCAGCAGGACCCCUCUCUGGCGAUGGGGGAGUGUCCAGACCAGCUGUGACCGAAUUCACUAAAAUGGACUUCAUUUAAAACUUUUUCACACAGACUGAAUUUUCCCUGGGCCUGGCUUUUUCCCAGUGCCUUCACACGGAAUAACGCCCCAGGUCCACCACCAGAUCCUCUCACCACCAGAUCCUCUUUCCCCACCAGAUCUUUUUUCAGUGCACAACCAAUAUGCCAUUCGAAAAAGCGGAAGAAGUUUUUUUGCCCUUGAAAGCUGAAAAAACAAAACAAAACAAGGAACUCUGACCUGGUGACAUCAUAUUCCCUAGAGAGGAUUUGUCCAAUCGCAUUCUGGCGUUUGCACGCGCGGGAGUCGGUUCCUGCCUCACGAGCCUAACGAACCUGAAGAGCGUUGCUGUGGUUACGGGUUCAGGUGGUGUCUGUGGACGUGACCGGGACUGGCCAAUCGGGCGAGGCCGCGCCCCCUCAGCGAGUGAUGUCAUGAGCCCACCUGCACACCUCUCACCUCACUCUGGAUUCCGCAGUGAUGUCACAGUCCACAGCAUCGCCGUGGCAACACCCCGGCUCCCCGCAGACCAGGAAGUGUGGCUGGAGCACCUGGAGACUCUGGUAAGCAUGAAGACGUGGCUGUCCAAUAACUGACAUAUGAGCUGUCAAAGGUAUUUUCAGUCCAUGUUAUUACAAAUAUUUAGGCUGCAGUCCAAUCCAUUAUCUUCUCUAACUCGGUGUGUAAUUUUAGCAGUGCGGUCCAUAAGCGUCUGAUUAUACAGGGGCCAUGUUCACAGGGGCACAUAAUGUAAAACCCACAUUUAAAUGGUCCCUAGACUGGCCGGCCGGUGGUGAUAUAUAACCCAGAAGAUUAGCAGGCCAGCAGACAGUCUGCAUUAGCAUUGAAAUUGGCCUCCUUUAUUUUUAAGCUGGCAAAUUCAUGGUCAGACCUCAGUCGUCCCUAAGGGGUCCUUCGUGGCUGUGCUGAACAGGAAGUGGACCCAUUUGAAUAUUAAUAAGCUUUGAGUUGAUUCGUUAAUACAUUCGUAUUUUUAGAAUUUGUGUUGAUUUGUUGUAUUAUUAAAAACGUAAUCAAGUAUAUGCCAUUAAUCAAGGUGAGUAUUUGUUUUUCUCAUAUUGCUACAUAUGAAAUUGUGUAAUUUAGUUUUAAAUUGAUAGUGUUUUGUUGCUUUAUUGGGCGAAAGCAUGUGCAUUUUCAAUAAACUUUAAUAAAAUUAAA